rnacentral:rRNA from 1 species
GAGCGAGAAAAGGGUAGCAAUAUCCUGAGUACAGCGGCGCACGGGUGAGUAACACGUGGGUAAUCUGCCCUGGAGUGGGGAAUAACACCGGGAAACCGGUGCUAAUACCGCAUACGAUCACGAUGUCUGCGGAUGUUGUGAUGAAAGGAGCAAUUCGCUCCAGGAGGAGCCCGCGGCUGAUUAGCUAGUUGGUGAGGUAAUGGCUCACCAAGGCUACGAUCAGUAUCCGGUCUGAGAGGACGGUCGGACACACUGGAACUGAGACACGGUCCAGACUCCUACGGGAGGCAGCAGUGGGGAAUUUUUGGCAAUGGGGGAAACCCUGACCAAGCAACGCCGCGUGGGUGAUGAAGUCUCUUGGGACGUAAAACCCUUUCGACGGGGAAGAAACCGCAAGGUUGACGGUACCCGUAGAAGAAGCCCCGGCUAACUCCGUG